AAAAAGCCUUAGAGAUGGAGAGGAGUCAGGGUGUGUGAAUCACGUCAGCCCUUCAGACGAGGUGAAACGGAAAUAACAUAUUUGCAAGACAAUAACCACAACCACAUCUAUGACUAGAAAAUCCUAGAAAAUUCUGUGCUACGUAAUAUAAAACCUCUCAGGGUACAAUCCACCAACCUGGAAGUACUAUUGACUGAAUUAUGCUCAUAACUGAGGAUGAUGACCUACAGGCAAACUCUGCUAGUGACCAGGUUGUUCUUGCAGAGAACUUGUGAAAAUUCAGUGUGUUGAAUAGGUGAGUUCCAAUGGAGUGAGUAUGCUGCAGCCUUUGAAAAGGAGGACCUAGGCAGUCACCAACAUGUACAGGCUGGAAAGAAAGCUGUAACAACUUAAAAAUAUUCUGGACCUGCAAAGGAACCAGCUCCUGACUGCUGGGAAAAGAGCUGGAAGUUCUGAAAUAUCAAAGCAAAAUCUGUUCCUGCAAGAUUUCCAUCAGAGAGAGGAUUAACAGUCAACAAAUGAACAUCAGUGCAACUGCCUCUGAAUCUGGGAUCUGCCUACCUGUCUUCAGUACGUAUUUCUGUAUUUCUUGAUGUACUGUGAGAAACUGGAUGAGACAGUGUAAUAUGUAGAAUCCCUCCUCACACGUUAUGAUAUCAAACCACUAAUAAACAUGGGAAAUGUAU
rnacentral:lncRNA from 7 species